GACGAACGCUGGCGGCGUGCUUAACACAUGCAAGUCGAACGGAAAGGCCCUGCUUUUGUGGGGUGCUCGAGUGGCGAACGGGUGAGUAACACGUGAGUAACCUGCCCUUGACUUUGGGAUAACUUCAGGAAACUGGGGCUAAUACCGGAUAGGAGCUCCUGCUGCAUGGUGGGGGUUGGAAAGUUUCGGCGGUUGGGGAUGGACUCGCGGCUUAUCAGCUUGUUGGUGGGGUAGUGGCUUACCAAGGCUUUGACGGGUAGCCGGCCUGAGAGGGUGACCGGCCACAUUGGGACUGAGAUACGGCCCAGACUCCUACGGGAGGCAGCAGUGGGGAAUAUUGCACAAUGGGCGGAAGCCUGAUGCAGCAACGCCGCGUGCGGGAUAACGGCCUUCGGUUUGUAAACCGCUUUCGCCUGUAACGAAGCGUGAGUGACGGUAAUGGGUAAAGAAGCACCGGCUAACUACGUG
rnacentral:rRNA from 1 species